GUCUCCAACAAUAAUCAUAGGCCUCAGGAUCUCUUCAACUCUCUUAACUCUCUGAUAAACACCAGUAGCGCAGCUUGUAUUGUUUCAAGUUUUUAAAUGUGCUUUAUAAAUAAAGUUGACAUUGACACUGAGUACUAGUGACAAUACUAGUGACAAUACUAGUGACGGUAACAGUGACGGUACUAGGGACGGUACUAGUGACAAUACUAGCGACAGUACUAGCGAUGGUUGGAGAAGAGCCUGAGAAAAGAGGUUGGGCUUUCGUGGAAAUGCCAUGUGAGGAACUGUGUCAAAGUGGCUGCAUGACAGAACAUACAUCCUUGUGGUGCUCCUGUUCAAAGGGAUGCACAGUCAGAAAAAGGCAAAGUAACUUUUAUGAGUGGGGUCAUGAGGGUGUUACGUGUGGUUGUUAAGGAAGGGGUGAUAAGUGUGGUUAUUAAGAAGGUGAGGGAGGGUUAAUUGUGUUCAUAAAGAAGGUGGGUGUGUGUUGAGUGUGUUUAUAAAGGAGGUGGGGAGGUGUUAAGUGUGUUCAUAAAAGAUGUGGGGUGUUAAGUGUGUUAUAAAGGAGGUGGGAGGGUGUUAAGUGUGUUUAUAAAGGAGGUGGGGGGGUGUUAAGUGUGUUUAUAAAGAAGGUGGGAGGGUGUUAAGUGUGUUUGUAAAGGAGGUGGGGGGUGUUACGUGUGUUUAUAAAGGAGGUGGGAGGGUGUUAAGUGUGGUUAUAAAGGAAGGGGUGUUAAGUGUGUUUAUAGAGGAGGUGAGGGGUGUUAAGUGUGUUUAUAAAGGAGGUGGGGGUGUUAAGUGUGUUUAUAAAGGUUGUGGGGGGUUAAGUGUGUUUAUAAAAGAGGUGGGGGGGUUAAGUGUGUUCAUAAAGGAGGUGGGGGAUGAUUAAAUGUGUUUACACAGUUUGUUUGCAAAAGUUUGAAUGCUACAUUUUGAAUGUUACAAUUAAACAGUUUAAGAGUAUGGUUUAAAUAUGACAGUUUACAGUAUGACUGUACAGUUUGCAACAGUUAAAAUGUUACUGUUUAAAU
ensembl:lncRNA